rnacentral:rRNA from 1 species
AUACGGAGGAUCCGAGCGUUAUCCGGAUUUAUUGGGUUUAAAGGGUGCGCAGGCGGCCAUUUAAGUCAGCGGUUAAAUCGUGGGGCUCAACCCCAUUCUGCCGUUGAUACUGGGUGGCUUGAUUGCGGUCGAGGUUGGCGGAACGUGGCGUGUAGCGGUGAAAUGCGUAGAUAUGCCACAGAACGCCGAUAGCGGAGGCAGCUCGCCAGGCCUGCAUUGACGCUCGGGCACGAAAGCGUGGGGAUCGAACAGGAUUAGAUUCCCUGGUAGCCCACGCCGUAAACGAUGGGCGCUCGUCGUCGGCGGCAGACAGUCGGCGGCCAAGCGAAAGCGAUAAGCGCCCCACCUGGGGAGUACGGUCGCAAGGCUGAAACUCAAAUGAAUUGACGGGG